rnacentral:rRNA from 1 species
GAUGAACGCUGGCGGCGUGCCUAAUACAUGCAAGUCGAGCGAACGGACGAGAAGCUUGCUUCUCUGAUGUUAGCGGCGGACGGGUGAGUAACACGUGGAUAACCUACCUAUAAGACUGGGAUAACUUCGGGAAACCGUAGCUAAUACCGGAUAAUAUUUUGAACCGCAUGGUUCAAAAGUGAAAGACGGUCUUGCUGUCACUUAUAGAUGGAUCCGCGCUGCAUUAGCUAGUUGGUAAGGUAACGGCUUACCAAGGCAACGAUGCAUAGCCGACCUGAGAGGGGGAUCGGCCACACUGGAACGGAGCCACGGUCCAGACUCCUACGGGAGGCAGCAGUAGGGAAUCUUCCGCAAUGGUCGAAAGCCUGACGGAGCAACGCCGCGUGAGUGAUGAAGGUCUUCGGAUCGUAAAACUCUGUUAUUAGGGAAGAACAUAUGUGUAAGUAACUGUGCACAUCUUGACGGUACCUAAUCAGAAAGCCACGGCUAACUACGUG